GUUGUAUAGUCAAGUAAUUAAGUGCAUGUGGUGGAUGCCUUGGCAGUCAGAGGCGAUGAAAGACGUGAUAGCCUGCGAAAAGCUCCGGGGAGGCGGCAAAUAUCCUUUGAUCCGGAGAUGUCUGAAUGGGGGAACCCACCUACUUUAAGGUAGGUAUUGCAACAUGAAUACAUAGUGUUGCAAGGCGAACGAGGGGAAGUGAAACAUCUCAGUACCCUUAGGAAAAGAAAUCAAUUGAGAUUCCCUCAGUAGCGGCGAGCGAACGGGGAUCAGCCCAUUAAGUUAUGUGUGUUUUAGUGGAACGCUCUGGGAAGUGCGAACGUAGAGGGUGAUAUUCCCGUACACGAAAGGGCACACAUAAUGAUGACGAGUAGGGCGAGGCACGUGAAACCUUGUCUGAAUAUGGGGGGACCAUCCUCCAAGGCUAAAUACUCCUGACUGACCGAUAGUGAACCAGUACCGUGAGGGAAAGGCGAAAAGAACCCCUGUGAGGGGAGUGAAAUAGAUCCUGAAACCGCAUGCAUACAAGCAGUGGGAGCACCUUCGUGGUGUGACUGCGUACCUUUUGUAUAAUGGGUCAGCGACUUAUAUUCAGUAGCGAGGUUAACCGUAUAGGGGAGCCGUAGAGAAAUCGAGUCUUAAUAGGGCGUUUAGUUGCUGGGUAUAGACCCGAAACCAGGCGAUCUAUCCAUGAGCAGGUUGAAGGUUGGGUAACACUAACUGGAGGACCGAACCCACUGUCGUUGAAAAGCCAGGGGAUGACUUGUGGAUAGGGGUGAAAGGCUAAUCAAGCCUGGUGAUAGCUGGUUCUCCCCGAAAGCUAUUUAGGUAGCGCCUCGGACGAAUACCAUAGGGGGUAGAGCACUGUUUCGGCUAGGGGGUCAUCCCGACUUACCAAACCGAUGCAAACUCCGAAUACCUAUGAGUACUAUCCGGGAGACAGACUGCGGGUGCUAACGUCCGUAGUCAAGAGGAAAACAAUCCAGACCGCCAGCUAAGGCCCCAAAAUCAUAGUUAAGUGGGAAACGAUGUGGGAAGGCAUAGACAGCUAGGAGGUUGGCUUAGAAGCAGCCACCCUUUAAAGAAAGCGUAAUAGCUCACUAGUCGAGUCGGCCUGCGCGGAAGAUGUAACGGGGCUAAAACUAUGUGCCGAAGCUGCGGAUGUAUACUUUGUAUACGUGGUAGGGGAGCGUUCUGUAAGCCGAUGAAGGUGUGUUGAGAAGCAUGCUGGAGGUAUCAGAAGUGCGAAUGCUGACGUGAGUAACGACAAAACGGGUGAAAAACCCGUUCGCCGAAAGACCAAGGGUUCCAGUCCAACGUUAAUCGGGGCUGGGUGAGUCGACCCCUAAGGCGAGGCCGAAAGGCGUAGUCGAUGGGAAAAUGGUUAAUAUUCCAUUACUUCUGUGUAAUGCGAUGAGAGGACGGAGAAGGCUAAAUCAGCCUGGCGUUGGUUGUCCAGGUGAAAGGAUGUAGGCAUGUAUCUUAGGCAAAUCCGGGGUACUCUAUGCUGAGAUCUGAUAGCAAGCUGUACUUGUACAGCGAAGUGGUUGAUGCCAUGCUUCCAGGAAAAGUCUCUAAGCUUCAGUUACACAGGAAUCGUACCCGAAACCGACACAGGUGGUCAGGUCGAGUAGACCAAGGCGCUUGAGAGAACUCUGCUGAAGGAACUAGGCAAAAUGGUACCGUAACUUCGGGAGAAGGUACGCUGUUGUUGGUGAUGGAACUCGCUUCCUGAGCUGACGACAGCCGCAGAAACCAGGCCGCUGCAACUGUUUAUUAAAAACAUAGCACUCUGCAAACACGAAAGUGGACGUAUAGGGUGUGAUGCCUGCCCGGUGCUGGAAGGUUAAUUGAUGGGGUUAGCGUAAGCGAAGCUCUUGAUCGAAGCCCCAGUAAACGGCGGCCGUAACUAUAACGGUCCUAAGGUAGCGAAAUUCCUUGUCGGGUAAGUUCCGACCUGCACGAAUGGCAUAAUGAUGGCGGCGCUGUCUCCAGCAGAGGCUCAGUGAAAUCGAAAUCGCUGUGAAGAUGCAGUGUACCCGCGGCUAGACGGAAAGACCCCGUGAACCUUUACUGCAGCUUGACACUGAACUUUGACCUUACUUGUGUAGGAUAGGUGGGAGGCUUUGAAGCUGGAACGCUAGUUCCAGUGGAGCCGUCCUUGAAAUACCACCCUGGUAAUGUUGAGGUUCUAACUCUGUCCCGUGAUCCGGGACGAGGACCGUGUCUGGUGGGUAGUUUGACUGGGGCGGUCUCCUCCUAAAGAGUAACGGAGGAGUACGAAGGUGCGCUCAGCGUGGUCGGAAAUCACGCGUAGAGUAUAAAGGCAAAAGCGCGCUUAACUGCGAGACCCACAAGUCGAGCAGGUACGAAAGUAGGUCUUAGUGAUCCGGUGGUUCUGUAUGGAAGGGCCAUCGCUCAACGGAUAAAAGGUACUCUGGGGAUAACAGGCUGAUACCGCCCAAGAGUUCAUAUCGACGGCGGUGUUUGGCACCUCGAUGUCGGCUCAUCUCAUCCUGGGGCUGAAGUAGGUCCCAAGGGUAUGGCUGUUCGCCAUUUAAAGAGGUACGCGAGCUGGGUUUAGAACGUCGUGAGACAGUUCGGUCCCUAUCUACCGUGGGCGCUGGAAAUUUGAGAGGAUCUGCUCCUAGUACGAGAGGACCAGAGUGGACGAACCUCUGGUGUACCGGUUGUGACGCCAGUCGCAUCGCCGGGUAGCUAUGUUCGGAAGGGAUAACCGCUGAAAGCAUCUAAGCGGGAAGCCUACCUCAAGAUAAGAUUUCCCUAGGACUUUAUGUCCUCUAAAGAGCCGUUCGAGACUAGGACGUUGAUAGGUUGGAUGUGGAAGCAUAGUGAUAUGUGAAGCUGACCAAUACUAAUUGCUCGUGAGGCUUGACUAUACAACACCCAAGCAGUUG
rnacentral:rRNA from 1 species